rnacentral:rRNA from 1 species
AACGAACGCUGGCGGCAUGCCUAACACAUGCGAGUCGAACGAGAUCUUCGGGUCUAGUGGCGCACGGGUGCGUAACGCGUGGGAAUCUGCCCUUUGGUUCGGAAUAACAGUUGGAAACGACUGCUAAUACCGGAUGAUGACGAAAGUCCAAAGAUUUAUCGCCAGAGGAUGAGCCCGCGUAGGAUUAGCUAGUUGGUGUGGUAAAGGCGCACCAAGGCGACGAUCCUUAGCUGGUCUGAGAGGAUGAUCAGCCACACUGGGACUGAGACACGGCCCAGUCUCCUACGGGAGGCAGCAGUGGGGAAUAUUGGACAAUGGGCGAAAGCCUGAUCCAGCAAUGCCGCGUGAGUGAUGAAGGCCUUAGGGUUGUCAAGCUCUUUUACCCGGGAUGAUAAUGACAGUACCGGGAGAAUAAGCUCCGGCUAACUCUGUGCCAGCAGCCGCGGUAA